AACGGGGAGCCCAAAACGCAGAAGCCAGAGUCCACCAGAGCUUAACAAAGAUGGCUGCAAGGGGUUAAAUCUCCUGUAGAGACGAGAAAGAGUGAGAGAGGAUAGAGGCGAGAAAGAGAGGAUAGAGAGGCGAGAGCGAGUGAGAGAGAGGAUAGAGAAGAGAGGAGAAGGAUAGAGAGGAGAGAGCGAUUGAGAUAGA